ACUUAAAUUGAAGAGUUUGAUCAUGGCUCAGAUUGAACGCUGGCGGCAGGCCUAACACAUGCAAGUCGAGCGGUAACACAGAGAGCUUGCUCUCGGGUGACGAGCGGCGGACGGGUGAGUAAUGUCUGGGAAACUGCCUGAUGGAGGGGGAUAACUACUGGAAACGGUAGCUAAUACCGCAUAACGUCGCAAGACCAAAGUGGGGGACCUUCGGGCCUCAUGCCAUCAGAUGUGCCCAGAUGGGAUUAGCUAGUAGGUGGGGUAACGGCUCACCCAGGCGACGAUCCCUAGCUGGUCUGAGAGGAUGACCAGCCACACUGGAACUGAGACACGGUCCAGACUCCUACGGGAGGCAGCAGUGGGGAAUAUUGCACAAUGGGCGCAAGCCUGAUGCAGCCAUGCCGCGUGUGUGAAGAAGGCCUUCGGGUUGUAAAGCACUUUCAGCGGGGAGGAAGGCGGUGAGGUUAAUAACCUCAUCGAUUGACGUUACCCGCAGAAGAAGCACCGGCUAACUCCGUGCCAGC
rnacentral:rRNA from 1 species